UACGUAGGGGGCAAGCGUUGUCCGGAAUCAUUGGGCGUAAAGCGCACGUAGGCGGCCUCGCAAGUCAGAUGUGAAAUCCCUCGGCUUAACCAAGGAAGUGCAUUUGAAACUGCAAGGCUUGAAUAUUGGAGAGGGUCGCAGAAUUCUCGGUGUAGAGGUGAAAUUCGUAGAUAUCGGGAGGAAUACCAGUGGCGAAGGCGGCGACCUGGCCAAAUAUUGACGCUGAGGUGCGAAAGCGUGGGGAGCAAACAGG
rnacentral:rRNA from 1 species